UAAAUACAGAUAAGUUGCAUUGGUCACACUUUUUUAUUACGUUCAGAAAUAAUGUAAAACAUUGAUGAAUAAAACCAAAUAUUUACAAACAUUAUAUUUUCUAUAAUCAUGUAUUUAGUUCCUUUCACUCCACAACAAAUCCUUUAAAUGUAACAAUAUUCAGAACAGAACAAGAAUGAAAAAUAUAAGAAUAAAACAAACAUAAAUUAAAGUGUCAGUCAUUAUAAACAACAUUUGUUAUAAAUGACUGAUAAACUGAAAUAAACUGAAACUACUAGUACAGUAUGUGGGAAAUGCUUAAGCUCACCUACCUUUCUCAUUAGGCAUAAAUCCAUGUUUUGUGAACUUGAUGUUUAUUGUAUUUAAUAAGUCACAGCAUGUUUAGGUUAAUUAAAAGCAUGUGACUUGUAUUCUGGAAAAUACAGUAAUUUAAAUACGUAUUUAUUUAAAAUCCAAUCCAUAGCACAAGUAAUAUUUUUAUAGAAAUAAUACAUUUAAUGGAAUACUAGAAAAUAAAGAGUAGUCCCUUUACUUGCCUGUUAACAAAAGAAAAGUUUCAAAAGAAGAAGCAUAGCAACAUAGCUUGUUUUUCUGUAUUGUGGCAUACAUCAGAGUAAAUAGAUUAUUCAAAAGGGUAAGAAUGUGGAGUGGGGUUCAAUUUAUCGGUCUUUGAUUGGAUGGAGUCUGGACGUACAGCAUAUGUCACCAGAGAGAAGUCUUUCAAGUGGAAGAUUGAGUUAUGACAUUUUGAUUUAAAACUAUUAGAUAAAAAAAAAAAAAAAAAUCAGUGCAGUGGUGAAUGUUUCUAGGAUUACAACAGACUUCUGGAAAGUCAGAGAAACUCUCUUCUAUCAUUUGCUAAACAUUAAUUUUCAUUGUCAAAUGCGUGUGCAAAAUAACCACUGAUUUGUCUUAGUUUUCCCUUUUGUUUCUUCAUUUUAAUUAAAUAUAUUUAAACCUAACAGCUAAUCAUUUGACUUUUUUUCUUGGUUUUAGUUGGAUGGGCUACUCCCAAAGUUUCUAGGCUCCCCAAACUUGAGCCUCUUGGAGAUACAAGUCAUUCUGAUUUCUAUGGCAAACCUCUCCCACCUGUAGCAAUUAGGCAGAGGCCGAACAGCGAUACUCAUGAUGUAAUUUCCUAACACUACCUUUCGCACCCUCUCCCUCCCAUCCUCCUUGCUGGUUCACAGUUCUUAAGGGUCCCAACCAAUCAAAGUAUUGUUUUGUUCUUAUCUUCAAGCACGGGCAGUGUAGUAAUCUACGCGGAUCUAAUUCCCCAUAAGCGAGGAAUUGAUACCCAAUCGGCAUACCCAGAUGGAUCACAUGAACUCAACCAACCAAUGACUGAUGGUCAUCGGAAGCUGUUUCCUGGCCAGUGUUUGAGAUGAAGGGAUGUGGACAUUCACUGUUAGACAUAUUCGUAUAAUGUUCUUAUUUCUGUAGUUUUAUCAAAAUACUUAAAUUCAGUAUUAACAGACAUUUCCAUGUUACAGACCUAUUUUUUAAGAGAAUUGAAAAAUAUGUAAAUAUAUAAAAGUUUAAAUUUGUGUACUUGAAAUUGUAAAAACAUGUUCUUUAUGGUCCAUUUGCAUAUAUUAAGCUCGUGUGCAUAUGAAAUGUGCUGUUCAUUUCGACACAGUUUGCCUUUAAAAUAUCAGAAAAUAUCUUCUUUUUUUUUCUCAGCAGCAUCUAUAAGUUUAUACACUACGCUGUCUUAAUUUUGAGAACAACAUUCAUACUCUCAAAUAGCACCAGCAACAGAUAAAGAGAUCUUGAUUAAUGUAUUAUGACAUAUACUGUAAAAACAUGCUUUCAUAUUUAUUUUAUGCUAUUGCGAUUUUUAUAAUUUACAUUGUUGGAUGUUUUGUUUUGUAUUUUACCCCACACAUGAGAACUUCUGUCUAUCAUCCAGUUUGCUCUGCUUGCAGUACCUGCGCCUUUUGCAACCCGUUUACACUUAGUAUGAAUGACAAAGAAAGAGAGAAAGUUUAUUCUGUUAAUUUUCACUAUCACUCAACACAUUUCCGUGUUAUUAUUAAAACUGUUUGAUAAUGCACACAUUUGCACAACUGUUAGCGGCGCCUUCUGCUGGCACAUGCCGUAACUACACCAUCACGGUUUUGUUCAUUAAAACAAAGAGAGUUGAACUAUUUCGAUGCUUUCUGUAUAAUUCAUGGAAAAAAUAAAAAUGCCUAUACUUA